ensembl:snoRNA predicted gene, 24172
CUUCAGGUAUCUUUGUGACCUGUCAACUAUGACAACCCCACUUCAUAGCCACAAAAGAACAUGGCGAAGCUGUCACCAUUUAAUUGGUGUCUGGUUCUGAUUCACAUAGAUAACAUUC